GGGGAUGAAAGGCUGUGUCAGCGUUUCCAUGAUGCAGAAAACAAGGAACAGAGAGAUCCAAUACUUUGUCCAAGGUCACCUGCAAGCCUGCUGGGGAUGAAGAGGGGAUUCCAGCCCAGGCAGCUUGACUCACAAGACCAAACCAGGGAAUUCUGCCUAGGGGAGGGUACUUAGACAUGUGACUAAAUGAGCAGAAAGACACAGGAGUCUGGGGAAGAAAAGCAUGAAACUCCUCUCCAGAGAAUCCCCAGUGAGCUGCGGAGAGGACUGUUCUGCCCAACACAGUCACCACUAGCCACAUGUGGUUACCGAGCGUGUGAAAAGUGGACAGACUGUGUGGGGCCGAGGCAGCUGUGUCCCUGCUUGGACAGGAGAGAAGAGGAGGAGCAAAGGUGCCAGAUGACAUGACAGACCCCCAGAAAUCCUUGGAAGGACCCCCAGGAGCACGGGGCUGCUGGCAGGGAGGUGCAUGCUGGCUGGAGGUGUUCAUUCGGUUUUGAAGGGAAGGAGCACCCCAGCAGGCUGGCUGACGCCAGGACCCGAGGCCGCUUUACAGGGGGGGUGUUGUGAUACCCUCCGGAGUGCUGGGCAGCAGCUGAGAAGUUUCGUGGCAGUGCUAGCAGGGAAGAUGAAGACGUGGAUGCAGGCAAUGCUAGAAUCCACAACCAAAUAACAUGGAAACCUUUCCAAACAACAUGGAAAGGUCUCUAGGAUCCGCUGUCAGGUGAUGGAGGGAGCAGGGCCCCGUGCGGGCGGGCUGUGUGUUCUCAAGGUGCUUCCUCACCUCCCCCCGAGACACCUGUACCCUCCUCAGCCUGCUUGUGUCUUAGGAGGCUGGCUUGUAGAGUCUGCACACACAGGCCUUCUUGCCCCAGACUUCUGGUAGGGAUUGGCCGAUGGGGGCCCUGCAGGAGAUCCAGAGAGAGGGAGGGCCAGUGUUUAGUCCCUGCCUCCUCUCCUGCUUUGCAGUACGUCGUAGUCCCUCCACCUUGAGGCCUCUCCACAAAGUGCACACUCUUAGUCUCUUUCUGGUUUCCAGCAUCUCCUAUCCUCAUCCCUGAAGGCCUUGGGCCGCCCCAUGGUCCCUAGCCCUGGGGAAUUGCACAUUCCUACUGCUUCCCCCGCCCCCUCCCAACCAACCACACCUUUGUCAACAGUCUUCCGUGAACCCUUCCUGUUACCCAACUUGAGUCCGCCAUUUGCUUCCUAAGGAGACCCUGGCCUGUACCAGGAAACACCAUAUGCUAACUUUUGUGCACUUCAGGGAGAAGGCAGAGUGAAAAUACACAUUCGAAUUUACAGAAAGAAAUACUAGAAAGAUAUAUAAGAAACUAGUAAGAGUAGCAGGUAGAGUGGGAGGAGAGAGUGAACCAGGGUGGAGGUGGAGCAAGACUUUUCAGUGUAUCUAAUUUAUAUGACUUUGAUUUUGAAUCCAGGUGAAUGAUUGUCUAUCAGACAGAAUUAAAUGGGAAAGAAUCUUCUCUAUCCCAAGGUGGAUUAUUUGGAGGAACUGUUGACGGAAAUGGAAACACACAAUGUGAGAGCUGUGAGUUUCAAUUUUAUCGGGGACUCAUCGAGGACUCUGGCCCAGGAGGCGGCCUCUCAGGGAGCUCUCAGAAACUGUUCCGAAGAGCUGAGGGGCGAGGCCAGCGCGCGUGUGAUUUUAGAGAAGGGUGCGUGCAACCAAGCACACAUCUUGGAAGAAGGCUGCUGCCAGUCACGAGGAACAGACAUCUUAGUUAAUGAUUUUAGUGCUUUUCCAAGUACGAGCAGAUGCAAGAACUUAGGUUCAUAACAUUUUCUCCUGAAAAUAUGUAACCCACUGAAGGCCCGUUCUGCCAGUUUUCCCAGAGCACAGAGCACCUCGUUCCUGAUCUCCACCCUGAACUCCUCUCAGGGCGUGUUAAAGGUCAGUGACAGCAGUGGCUAAUGACUCAGUCCUUGUAGAGCCAGAUGGCCAGCGACAUUCUUUAGUUGGCAGAUUUGAUUGAAUCCUGUGUAGACCUUUGGCCGAGGGAGCUCCCAGUCUUGAGCAGGAAAGGCCACAGCACAGAGGGAAGUGGCCUCUGCUAGCUGGCUCCAUCAGGGAGGGCUACAGCCAGGGCCCCGUAUGCCUGUCUCCCUCUUCCCCUGUCCUCCUAGGGCUCUGGCCUUGGCCACCAGUGUCCUAGAGGUGGUGCCACGAGGGUUUCCACCAGGAGCGAUCA